AUUCAGUGUGGUGGUGCACAUCUGUAAUCCCAGCCACAUGGGAGAUGGAGUAUGGCAGAUCUCUUGAGCUUGAGAGUUCUGAGCUGGGCUAUGCCGUCUAAGUCUUUAUAGUAAAUUUAGCAUCAAUCUGAUGACUCCCCAGGAGCAGAAGAACCACUGGGUUACCUAAGGAGGAAUGAACUAGCCUAGAUCAGAAACAGAUUAUGUAAAAGCCCCCAUGCCAAUUAGUACUGGAAUUGAACCUUAAGAGUAACUGCUACACUUUCAGCUUAGGUGAAAUUGGAAGACCCAGUCUUAA
ensembl:misc_RNA Metazoa_SRP Metazoan signal recognition particle RNA